UAUUCUAGGUUUCCCAUAUCAACGUUGAGAUGGAGCAUGUGCACCAAAAUGUUUAUUCACACUCUAUCAAUUGAUUGAUUAAGAUUAAAACAUCUGUUUACAGUGCUUUCGAUUGAUGGAAACAUUGAGCGUUGAGAGACGUGUGAAAAUACAAGAUGUCAAUUUUGAAUGCAUUGAUUAUAACUUUAAUUAUAUUCCAGAUGGAAUUGAAACUGAGGACAAGUGUUACCAUAGUUUGUAUCGUCUUGGUAUUGAUAGAAGGAACAUCCGCUGUUAUCUGCACAAAGCAAUGUAUUACGACUGCCGUUGCUGGAUGUUCUGAGAAUUGUAGAUUUGUCAAUCCUUAUGAUAAUUACAAGCGUUGUGUGGAUAUCUGUCGAGUGAAAUGUUUUAAGUGUGUGCUAGAAUGCAAUGAAUCUAGCUACUCGUGCAAGGAUUACUUUUAUCUUAUUUGAAACUUUAAUUUCUAUCUGUUAAAAUUAUUUCUUUUAUACAUCUUGACUCUGACUAUACUACUUUUAUUAAGCUUGGCUUCAUAGAUGCAUAAUACACAUUUUUAUAUCAGAUUAAUCAACCAAUCUGAUAUUUAGAUAAAAGACUGGUUCGCUGUCUUUUACCUGUUUGGCUUUGACGGUUGACACCAAGGGUGUCUGAGAUACCUUUACGUUGCAAGGAAGAGGACUAGCCUAUUUAGAUUACAAUAAAUAUUUUUAUUUACUCUUGUGUGAAUCUUUUUCGUUGGAUUUCUGGACGUAUAUGCUUUAAAUUCGUCAGCUUCCGUUACAGGAGGAACAAAUUGCCAUACUUAUAGUAAAUACAGUCACUUGAUACCUAGUUCAGUGUGUAGAUUCAUUGUUAUUGACUUGACGGAAGGGAGACUCUUAAGUUAUGCUUGGGAAGAAAACAUACGACAAGUCCAACCAUAACACCAUUAUCACAAAAAAC
rnacentral:lncRNA from 1 species